GACCCAUGUGGAUGAUGAGAGUGAUGUCAGCUGCAGAAACAUCACAGAGACGGCCAGCAUUCACUUGUGAUGUGUAGCUCGGACGCACUCGUCGUAGGAGGGAUGAUUUCGAACUGACCAAAAGCAGAAUAAUGAACUGAAUUACAAAGGGACGCCCUGGUCGGCAGAAGUUGGACGGAAACCACGUUGGAGGUCUGGUGUCCAGCAAGCCAGCAAUGCAGCAGCAGGGCACUGAUGUCUGCCCAUCACAGACGUCUGGCUGCGAGGCCGCCCCCUGCUCCCCAGUGCAAAGGAAGCAGAAUUCAGGCAACGCGGUGAAUGUUUCUCAGGCCUCGCUGAGGGAGAAAGCACCAGUUCAGGAUGCAGGGGACAUGAGUCCAAGCCAAAAAGAGAGAUGGUUUCAAACGAUGAAACUCAACCAAGUUUUGCCACAGUUUACCGCGUCAGGUCACAUUGCAGAUGGAACCAGUGCAUUUGAUAAUGAUUCAGUGAAAUGCCAAUCUUCAGGAGGCCCUCUAGGUGGCUCUAUUACCUCACCUCAAUCCAGAUCCAGUGAAACUACCUUGGACAUCAGUGCCCCCUCAGUGCCUCCAAAUAGAGUAACAUUGCACCCAUCAGGGACGACGGAAGCGUGCCAGCUACAAUCCAAAAUGUCCACAAAAGGCAGCUCCUCCACAGCUACACCCCAUCCGGGUGUUCCCAGGCCGGCUGUACCGUCACCUAAAGCACAACAAAAGCCACAAGUAGGAUGCAAUCAGCCGAAACCUUUAAACGUUGAGGUCACCGCAGGCCUCAAAACCGCGUCGUCCACCCACCUCGCCUCCCUCAAGGCUGGGAGGAGUGGAGCGGCGAACGACGCGAGUCAGGUCGGACUCAAAACGAGUGCCUUGGUAACCGGCGGGAGCGACGACAGUGUUGAUAAGACACGAGUGACCCCGGUGUCAGAGGAGGAAAGAGUAGCCAAGCGUAGGGAGCAGUGGCGGAUAAAAAAGAGGGAACAGAGAGCGAAGCUGGCAGCUAGGUCGACGAAAAGCAGAGAGCGAACACAAUUCACAGGAACAACGCUCCCGAGGCCGGUAACGCAGAAGGCAGGGGUAUCGCACGGUGGAGGUCUCAAACAUCCCCCUCCCCUAUCUUCUGUACAAAGUAUGUGCCCAAAACAAAGCGUGAGUAGCCCCAGGCCUCGAGAGGCACCUGCCAAUCGCUUACUGCAGAACGCUCGAGUGACGCUUGAUUCAUCUUCUGUGCCUCGACUUGUCAAGAAAGAGGAGAAAACGGACGAGGAGUCGGGGCCAGCCAGGUUGAACCCAGUUGGACCUAGUCCGAAUCAGAACACGUUAUUAAUUAAAGUAGAAAACCCGCAGGUCUCUAGGAAAGCACAGCCCGCUUUCACGCCUAACGUCAAGGUGGAACGAAGGAUAGAUUACCCCAGGAAGUUUUCGAACCACGCGUAUUUUUCCAACGUCAACCGGGCGAUCGCCAGAUGCCGAACGCCGCGGCAGAGACUCGUCGAAACGCAGAAGUGUUUCUCCAAUCAACGGAACUUAAGAGUCAAGUUCCCGUCCCUCGCCGCCAUCUACAAUUCGCGGAACGUCCCCAAAAUCCUCCCUAACGAGUCUCCCGAGCAGACGGCCUCCAGACGGAGGGAGUACUGGCGCAUCAAGAAGCGGGAGCAGCGCGCCAAGCAGUCCCUGGAGGUGAAGGCCCAGCUGAAGGAGAAGGACUCCCUGAUGAGGAGAGUCAAACGUUACCAGAAGAUCCUGGAGGAGAUGAGGAGGGCCCGAGCGCAGACCGUCGCCCUGGGGGGCCGGUCGACGGGCGGGAUGCUCACCCACGCCUCGGAGACCAUCGGCGGGUUCAUCAAAGAGGACGGGACGGUGACCGUCAGCCUUCCCCCGGUGCCGACGGACACGGCGGCGGCGGCGGGGCACGAGGCGGAACAGACCUCUUGUCUGCUCUCCGACGAUGGCGUCGUCGCGCACUCGCCGCAUCCGUCUCACGCCGGGCCUCUGGGCCACGGCAGGGACGCCGCGCUCGGGUACUCGGGACGGCUCGGCCACCGCCCGCCCCCGCCGCUGCGUCCGGCUCAGGUCCGAGUCACGCUGCCGCGGGACGGCCAGUCCGCCAACAAGCCUCCGCGCCUGCUGUCCAUCAGGCCCAGGACGCACUUUCAGAGAUCGGCCGCGGCGCACUCCAACCGCUCGGCGGGGCACAACGCCGCUCAGAUCACUCUCACGCACCCUCCGUUUCCCCGGGCCGCCGGGUCCGAGGUGUCAGCGACGGGGGUCAGCGGCGGCGGCGGCGGAGGCUGCGUCAUGAAGAUGGCGGUCUCUUCGCUGUUGGCGCCGCCGUGUGAGGACGCGGGGCUGACCGAGGAGCAACGCAUGGCCAAGAAGAGAGAGUACUGGAGGGUGAAGAAGAGGGAGCAGAGGGCGGCCCGGGCCACUAAGCUGAAGCACGGCUUAUUGCCGGCGUGGGACGCAGCCAUGCAAAGGAGGAAGACCCACAAGCAGACGCCCCUUCAGCGGUCGGCCAUGACGGCCAAUACCGCUACGCAAAUCAGGAAUUCUGCCAAACAGAAAAUGAACGUCCUCCCCUCCUGUAAUGUUAAUGUGCCUAAUCCUCAGCAGGCGAAGCAGAUCAAAGUGGAGAGGGAACCCGUACCGGCCUCUGACCUAAACAUUCGACCUGAACGAGCCAUCUGUCCAAUCAAACAGGCCCCCUCGCCGUCGCCUCCGCUGGCCUUGCCUCAGCCAGAGCCCGAUCCAACCCUGAGUGCCGAAACCCAGGCGACCACUCUUCUCGCCGUGGCCUCCAUGAAAAAGCUGCUGGAAGAAUCCCUCAGCACCGUGACUGAAUGUCAGCCCGCCGCCAUAAAAACAGAGCCGCCGCCUCCUUGUAAAGCCGAGAGAGAGGAGGACGUCUCAGACGAGCACUUGGUGCAGGAGAUGAAAUCGGAGAUCCCGGAGGCCUCCCUAGGAGGAGAAGAAGACGACGACAAGCUGCCGUUGGCUGCCAACCUGACGCUGCAGAUCAAAAGCUGGCAGGCGGACCCUGAUGACUCGGGGCAUGCCUGUCCGCGAGACCCUUACCCUUAUGCCUCAACCCAGACCGGCGAAUCCUCCACCCCGCUGUCCUCCACAACCCCGGACCCCCAGUGCCCCACUGCCUUAGGCGAGGGGGGUCCGACGCAGACGUUGUCUCCCCUACGUCGGGCCAAAAGGCUGUGCACCAAAAAGUCGGGCAAUCACCUUCAGCAUUGUUGCUCCUCAGAGCCGCCGAGGCUGCACCACUCCCCCGCCACGCCGCCGCCGCCGCCACAGAGGGUGCAACCGGCGGCGCCGCCUUCACGAUGCCUACUGCAGCCUCGGCCGUCCGCUCCGCAGCAACCGUUCAGGAGGCCGCUGUUCGUGGAGCCUGUGGGAGGGGAGGGCGGUAUGAGCUGUGGCAACAGCCUGCAGGAGAAGAGGGAGUACUGGAAGCUGAAGAAGAGACAGCAGAGAGCCCGCUCAAAAGCCAGGCAGAAGGGGGGGCCGGGUCACAGACAGAACAGCAGGCUCUCGUCCCAAAACAACGCACAGACUCUGAAUCCCCUCUCGGUCAACCACGCCCCGUCGGGGAAGAGCCCGACGAGUCCGCCGGCCAAACGCUGCCUGCAGCCCAAGGCCCCCACCGCCACUCUCACCGCGGUGCACAGCAUCCCCACGCUGCUGGUGGUCAGUCCCACCGCGUCCAACGACGGGCGCUCCCCCGACCUGCUCCAGGUCAAACCGCCGGUCUGCAGCUCCACCUCCUCGCCUGGCCGGGGCCGGCGCGAGGUCAACGCCCGGCCCUCCGGCACGUCCUGUGACCCCGACGCGUCGGAGUGCCACAAGGGCGCGACGGCGGACGGCGACGUCGACGUCCCCUCGUCCGACGGGGUGUCGGACGCCGAGCUGCGUCUGGCGGAGAAGCCGACGCCCGAGUCCAGAGUGAGGAGGUGGACCGUGCACGAGAAUAGCAACGCGGCGCCGGCUCUCGCUACUCUCACCCCCCCAGACAACCCGCUGUCCAGCAUCAACCUCUUCCCCAUCGAGCCCCUCGCUCCGACCUCGGGUCGCCACGCCUCUUACGGCAGCCCCGUGAGGCCCGCCCACACUCAGCCCCCCAAGCCCAAACCCGCGCAUGCCUCCCCGACCAAACUGGUGCCCUUAAGCACCCUGGCCCCCCCGAAACCCAUCCCGGGGGAGUCCCAGGAAGAGUUCCUGAGGCGGAAGAGGGAGUACUGGAGGGUCAAGAAGAAGGAGCAGAGAGCGAGGAAGGCCAUCCGGGACCGGGAGCUGUCCCAAAGGAGAGCGCCUGGCAACUGGAAGCCCAUUAGGCCCGCUAAGGACCAAGAGCGGCCCCAAUACACCGAGAACCAGGUAGGGGCUCCAAGUUGAUCCCGUCUCAAGCAGUUGUCCGUCACGGUAAACACACCGGGCUCACCUUGUUUUCUGUGUGUUCUUAUAGGACCUGGGAGAUUGUGACCCUGCCUACGAGGACUCGGAACGUCUUAUGAGGCAAGCAGCACUGGAUGUUAUGGAUAAACCUCCCAAUGUCUGUGGAAGCGCCGCCUAAAAAUGUGAUUUACAUCGUUUCUUUCUUUCUUUUCUUCCGCAGCUCGACCUCAGACGCUGAAAUGGGCUAUUAUUCGUACUCAAGCGACACUGUCCAGCUAGAAGGUGAAUUGAUGCUUGCAUUAGCUAUCUUCUAAAUCUUAACUACAUUGCCUUGUCAUUUCCUUUACUUAUCUAUUUUAUUUUAUUUUAUGACAAAGUACUUUGAUUCUGCCUCGUGUAGGAAAAGUGCUAUAUAAAUAAAGUUGCCUUGCCUUGAACGUAACCCCUUCACAUCGAGCUUUACACCCGUGUUUCCUCGUCCCCUCCCAGACGGCGACCCCGACCACGGCUUCGCCGACCACGGCUGCGGCGGCGGCCUCCUGGACGCCGACCACGGCUGCGGCGGCGGCGGCGGCGGCGGCGAGGACCUGGGCUCCGUCUCGGACGGCGCGUGGCGGAGCCGCUACCUCAUGGACCACGACCCGCUGAACCAGCUGCUGGUGUGCAUGGUGUGCGGCGACCUGCUCUACUCCCACAGCCUGGAGGGCGUCCGGGCCCACAUCGAGGAGGCCCACCCGGACACCCUGAACCUGGAGCCGCCCGAGUGCCGGCGCAUCCUGGACGCCUGGGACGAGCAGGUGUCCCAGCGGGAGCGCUUCUUCACCAGCCAGCUGCAGCAGCACGGAGCCACUCUGGCAGGUAAAAGGACGAGGGGUUUAACAGGGUGACACCCCCCCCCCCCCCCCCCCCCCCCAUCACUGAGGAAAGGUCUCGGUGUGUAGGGGGCGGUUAAGAAGGGGAGACCGGUGUGUGUGUGUUUUGAAAUGGAGAGAAAAUGACCAGCUUUUACAGUUGUGCUUUUAGAUCCCAUUUCUGUGUUUUCAUUCUGUUUGGGUGUGUUCAAUAAAUUAGGAUUAGUGUGAAGGAAAGCUUAUUUGAGUACGUCUCAGGCUGAAAAUUAACUGAUGUUGUGGACGCUGGGAUGCAAAGAAUGGGAACAGGAGAAUAGGAGAUCAAAUUCAUAAUUGAUCAAAAUAUUUUGACUUCGGUGUGACUGAAAGAGAUUUUGAGACAUCUUACCUCUUCAACGAUAUAUAUCAUUGUACAAUGUGUCGGGAACUGCACGUUGAAUUUCCUCUGCAAUCUACAAACCUAGUUCACCGCAUAUUUCUUUUCCAGAAGCGAACGGGAGCUAAAUUGGAAAAACCUCAAAGGGACAAGAAACAAAAGAUUACACACCAGAGAUGACCAUCAUGUUCCCUGUCAUCUACCGUUCUUCUUUUCUGUGAUUGCGAUGGCUUUUGUUGAUCACUCAUCUCAGUCAUCUUCAACCGACCAAUCUCCCAAUCCAUCGUCCCCUCACUCACAAACAAGACCCAGAGAUACUUGAACUCCUUCACUUGGGGUAAGGACUCAUUCCCCCCCCCCCCCCCCCCCCUUUGUUCAUGGGCUACUUUUAAUUGAAUGCUGUACAGGGAACACGCCUACAAGUUUGUUUAUAUUUUACCUAAUUUCUAACGGAAACACAGAGCACAAGUCUUAACAAGGUUUUUUGUAAUAUUGUAAUUAUUUGGAAAGAGUUGACAAAUUGCAGACUGUUUACUAUGUUAUUACUGCACAAAUAAACGGUUGAUACAGUAUGUAUACUCUUAACUAAAUUAUGCAUGUCAUUUUCUAGCUGCUUAAUGCAUUAGUGACCUUACACCACUGAUUGCCAGCUUUUUUAAAAUUUGUACCCAACCUUCUUAGACAGGUGUAGAUCUAGUUAGAACAUCAACUCCACUUCACCAUGCGAAAAAAAACAUGUCGACUGUAAACAUGAAACAAGACUUUUUUUUGUUACAAUCAAGUUAUAUGUAAGUAAUAUGCCAAAUCGUUUACUUGUACAAAUUGGGUUUCUUACAAUCCACCUUUCAAUGGAAAUGUAACCUUGUUUAUUUAUUGCAAGCUUCGUCAUACAGCUUGUUUAGUUAUUAUUGGUAUGCCUAGCUAGUUUUGUGUUGAUUCUCAUCUGUGGAUACUCCACUUUUUCUUGCAUGUGCUGUAAGUGGAUGCACAGCGGGUUCAAAAUGGGCUCUGCGAUGCGUUUACAAGGUGACCAAUUCAUUGGCUCUCUAAUGUUGUAUGUUCCAUUGAGCACAUAGUCUUUAACUCGUCAUUUUAUAUUUGAAUAAAACCAGAGGAAAAAAAAACCUGCACGACAAGUUUGGUAUCGGUAACAAAUCAAGCCAUUUGAGAAUGUAAUUUUGAAGCUAACUCGUAUGUUGUUUAAAAAAAGGAAUGCUUUUUUUUCUGAACAAAUAAAUAUUUUAUACCUUUUGGGUGGUUGUUCCUGUGAUUGAAUCUCACCC
ensembl:lncRNA